GAUGAACGCUGGCGGCGUGCCUAAUACAUGCAAGUCGAACGAACAGACGAUGAGCUUGCUCCUCUGACGUUAGCGGCGGACGUGUGAGUAACACGUGUAUAACCUACCUAUAAGACUGGGAUAACUUCGGGACACCGGAGCUAAUCCCGGAUAAUAUAUUGAACCGCAUGGUUCAAUAGUGAAAUACGGUUUUGCUGUCACUUAUAGCUGGAUCCGCGCCUCAUUAGCUAGUUGGUAAGGUAACGGCUUACCAAGGCGACGAUGCGUAGCCGACCUGAGAGGGUGAUCGGCCACACUGGAACUGAGACACGGUCCAGACUCCUACGGGAGGCAGCAGUAGGGAACCUUCCGCAAUGGGCGAAAGCCUGACGGAGCGACGCCGCGUGAGUGAUGAAGGUCUUCGGAUCGUAAAACUCUGUUAUUAGGGAAGAACAAAUGUGUAAGUAACUAUGCACGUCUUGACGGUACCGAAUCAGAAAGCCACGGCUAACUACGUG
rnacentral:rRNA from 1 species